rnacentral:rRNA from 1 species
AUUGAACGCUGGCGGCAUGCCUUACACAUGCAAGUCGAACGGCAGCAUGAUCUAGCUUGCUAGAUUGAUGGCGCGUGGCGAACGGGUGAGUAAUACAUCUGAACGUGCCCUGUAGCGGGGGAUAACUAGUCGAAAGAUUAGCUAAUACCGCAUACGACCUGAGGGUGAAAGUGGGGGACCGCAAGGCCUCAUGCUAUAGGAGCGGCCGAUGUCUGAUUAGCUAGUUGGUGGGGUAAAGGCCCACCAAGGCGACGAUCAGUAGCUGGUCUGAGAGGACGAUCAGCCACACUGGAACUGAGACACGGCCCAGACUCCUACGGGAGGCAGCAGUGGGGAAUUUUGGACAAUGGGGGCAACCCUGAUCCAGCAAUGCCGCGUGUGUGAAGAAGGCCUUCGGGUUGUAAAGCACUUUUGUCCGGAAAGAAAACGCGCGUACUAAUAUUAGGUGUGGAUGACGGUACCGGAAGAAUAAGGACCGGCUAACUACGUG